GCCUUCGUGGUGUAAUGGAUAGCACAUUUGGCUCGUAUUCGAGAGAUCCGAGGUUCGAGUCCCGGCGAGGGCA
rnacentral:tRNA from 1 species